CCACAUUCUGGACACCCUGCUGCUCGAAUUUUAAAGCGUGCCAAAGUUGUACGCCUGCGCAGUGCCACUUUUCGCGCCUUUGUUUACGCUUCCGCUUCGGUACCGAGAGUUAUCCUCCUGCCUUUCUCCGCUCCUCCUGCUCGGCGCCAUCUUGUCUUCUUCCAGCUGACUUUACAUUGUUCGAAGUUGAGAGAAGGAGCUUCAUUUCUUCCAAAGUGGCGGAAGUUGGAGCACAUACGUCUGUUUUUUGGAUUAUGCUCAUCGUUUUUAAGUAAGUUCUUCAGCGAAGAGGAAAGAAGGUAAACUCACCUGCUGAGCCAACUCUCUAGUGGGUGCCAGGACUAAGGCCUGGGUGGCCUUUAGAUCCAAUUCAAUCUGUUGCAGAAUUGAUAUGGCAAAAGUGGCAGUUUUCCCAGUCCCAGAUUGGGCUUGAGCAAUCACAUCAUACCCUGAAAAAACAAAAAUUUGAUAUGGUAAGAAGCACUCUUUGGAACAGUGGGACAUUCAAAGGCCCUGCUCAACGAAGUCAACAAGCAACCGAGAGAGAUUAAGUGCCAAGCAUUAAGUGCUUCAGACUUUCUAUCACAACAUGGUACCCAGAGAACAGAUCUGGAAGCCAGGUCAGGUUAUUAACUCAUUUGGUACAGCCACACUAAAACACUACCUUAUUGAAAUUACACCAGCAAUCAUGUAUCCAGGGCAUGAACCAGGCAUGGGCACAAAUCAAAAGCCAAGCUGGGAUAAACAAGGGGUUGCUUUAUCCCUGGCUGAUAUGAGACAGGCACCACCAACCAGGUGCCACUCUACCCAGGUCAGGGACAGUCAAGAACUUGUUGGAUCUUACCCUUGAUACAAGGAAGAAUGGCUCGCUGCUGGAUAGCAGAGGGCUUCUCAAAACCAUAAGCGUAGAUGCCACGGAGGAGGGAUUCUGAAAGGUUCAUGUCGUCGAAGCUGUCAACAAUCUCAUUCCAGUUACUCUGUACGAUGCAAAAAAAAAAAAAAAAAAAGUAACAGAAAUGAGGCUGUGCUCUUGCACUAAAACAAACAGGACCUUGUGCUUGCACAGAAACUUCACAGCCUACAACCUUUUCUCUCCAGGGAAGUCAGCUGGCUCUUUAUGGUCUGAAAAAAACCACUCUAAGGGGCCAGUCCACUUGUAACAGUGAGGCGGAUAUAGUAGAAGGAAAGACAAUCAACUUGAAUGAUGCCUUUUAAACAUAAUUUUUUUAUACUUUUACUCUAAGUAUUUCUAAAAAAUCACUAAAGAAGUUAAGAUUUCCUGUCUAACUAUGUGAUAGUUUAAGGAGUAAAGUUAAAUCCUGGGUUCUGGCUUUAGUCACUGAAGCCACCACUACAAAAACCAGGGAACAAUGCUGGUGGCACUGCCUUUCCCAGAGAUAAAGAAUAAAGGUGGUAGGGGUCCAGCCUCACCUCGAUGACGCCUUCGGGUUCCAUCCCAUCGGGGCCAUUGUCUCUGGAUCUGUUGGUUUAAAGUACGGAGUAUGUAGAAAUCCUGACAGCCGGGCUCUUCCUACCAACAACCGGCUUUUCGUGAUACCAUGAGCCUUCACUUCCUGAUCCAACCCCCACGAGUUUCCAGAAGAUAGUUAUUUUACAACUGAGUCAGGCCUUUGCCCCAUCCCGGGAGCGGCUGAAGCCACGCCGACCCCGACAUGAUGGGGUAACCCUCCUAGAUGACCCGGAAGCUGGAAAGAGCGGCGCUGCGCUUAAGGGGCGCGGGGGUGGUGGUUGAGGCCGGACCCACGUGUCCUGGGCCUGGCUUCUCCAAGCCCCAGCGCGUGUACCUCCCACCACGGCCCCAGCGCGCCGGAAGUCCCGCCCUUCACCUCCCAGAUGCCGGGGUAGGACAUCCCCUUCCCCCCACGUCAUUCCGCCCGCGCCCUCCCCCACUCCUUCCAGCCCACCUCCCCCCUCGCGGUGCCCGGAUGUGGGAGGCCGCGGGCGGUGGCGGCCCCGCGCACAAUGAGCCCCAGCCGAACUAGCAAAGGGGAGAUUGCACAACACUUAAAGCGAAGCGGACUGGGGGAGGGGAACGCCUCAGGCCGCCAUGUGCUCGCUCCCUCGACCACCCGGCGGCAUCCCCCCAACUCCGGCAAACAAUCCACAUCCCACCCGCUCCCGUCGCGAAAUGGCGUCGCCCUCCCAUACCUCAGGCCGCUCACCCCCGAAGGAAAGUGGACCUGCCCAUCCGCAGUUUGCCAAUUGCCCGGCUUGUGCGGCAAAAUGGGCCCGCCCGCCCGGCGCCGGGUGGGAUCCCGGUGCCUCACGCGGCCGCUCCUCGGGGUUAGGCUGGGUCCUGGCCGUCAAGAAAACCAGCACACUGAACGGCCGGUUUCUUUCACCCCGACCCGUAGCUCCACGCGACCGAGCGACUGGAUUUUAGGACCCAGGCACCCACGCCUUCGGCGAGUGGUACCGUCAGAAUCCUCCGGAUCCCGAAUGCGCGAGCCUUCCCUCUCUCAAUGAGGCAACCGGACAGGCGGCUCCGGGCCACGCACGGCCGAGACCACCUCUAUCUUUUUUUCUCCAGGGCAGGUCACCACCUCGCCGCCCUACUCAGCGCCAGGGCUUCGCGCACCGCGUCGGUCGGGGCCACCUAACGACCCUAGCACUCUGGGCCCCGAAAGCCGGACUGUCCUCAGCCUCUACCUAGGCCCUGGCAGCAGCGUUGGCCGUGGACCCGCCCCUCACUCCCCGAGGACUAGUCCUCCCGGCUUGGUCUCCCCGCAGCCCUAGAGGACCUAAGGCAGCGGGCCUCAGCUACCCUCGUCGGGGCCCUCGGAAAGGGCGGCAGGGUUUGGGGAGGUGUCGUGUGUCCUUCUGAGAACCUACUAAAGCCCAACUCCCCAGUAAGACGCACAUGAAUACUCAGGCAGGUUUUGCACAGAAAGGAGAAUUCAGAGAGACAGGACCAGCACCAGGGCGUACGAUUCAUCCAAGGCUCCUCGGCGACCGGUCCCAGCACAGACAGGUUUAGAGCGGCCUGCCACGCCAG